GAUGAACGCUGGCGGCGUGCCUAAUACAUGCAAGUCGAGCGAACGGACGAGAAGCUUGCUUCUCUGAUGUUAGCGGCGGACGGGUGAGUAACACGUGGAUAACCUACCUAUAAGACUGGGAUAACUUCGGGAAACCGGAGCUAAUACCGGAUAAUAUUUUGAACCGCAUGGUUCAAAAGUGAAAGACGGUCUUGCUGUCACUUAUAGAUGGAUCCGCGCUGCAUUAGCUAGUUGGUAAGGUAACGGCUUACCAAGGCAACGAUGCAUAGCCGACCUGAGAGGGUGAUCGGCCACACUGGAACUGAGACACGGUCCAGACUCCUACGGGAGGCAGCAGUGGGGAAUCUUCCGCAAUGGGCGAAAGCCUGACGGAGCAACGCCGCGUGAGUGAUGAAGGUCUUCGGAUCGUAAAACUCUGUUAUUAGGGAAGAACAUAUGUGUAAGUAACUGUGCACAUCUUGACGGUACCUAAUCAGAAAGCCACGGCUAACUACGUGCCAGCAGCCGCGGUAAUACGUAGGUGGCAAGCGUUAUCCGGAAUUAUUGGGCGUAAAGCGCGCGUAGGCGGUUUUUUAAGUCUGAUGUGAAAGCCCACGGCUCGACCGUGGAGGGUCAUUGGAAACUGGAAAACUUGAGUGCAGAAGAGGAAAGUGGAAUUCCAUGUGUAGCGGUGAAAUGCGCAGAGAUAUGGAGGAACACCAGUGGCGAAGGCGACUUUCUGGUCUGUAACUGACGCUGAUGUGCGAAAGCGUGGGGAUCAAACAGGAUUAGAUACCCUGGUAGUCCACGCCGUAAACGAUGAGUGCUAAGUGUUAGGGGGUUUCCGCCCCUUAGUGCUGCAGCUAACGCAUUAAGCACUCCGCCUGGGGAGUACGACCGCAAGGUUGAAACUCAAAGGAAUUGACGGGGACCCGCACAAGCGGUGGAGCAUGUGGUUUAAUUCGAAGCAACGCGAAGAACCUUACCAAAUCUUGACAUCCUUUGACAACUCUAGAGAUAGAGCUUUCCCCUUCGGGGGACAAAGUGAUAGGUGGUGCAUGGUUGUCGUCAGCUCGUGUCGUGAGAUGUUGGGUUAAGUCCCGCAACGAGCGCAACCCUUAAGCUUAGUUGCCAUCAUUAAGUUGGGCACUCUAAGUUGACUGCCGGUGACAAACCGGAGGAAGGUGGGGAUGACGUCAAAUCAUCAUGCCCCUUAUGAUUUGGGCUACACACGUGCUACAAUGGACAAUACAAAGGGCAGCGAAACCGUGAGGUCAAGCAAAUCCCAUAAAGUUGUUCUCAGUUCGGAUUGUAGUCUGCAACUCGACUACAUGAAGCUGGAAUCGCUAGUAAUCGUAGAUCAGCAUGCUACGGUGAAUACGUUCCCGGGUCU
rnacentral:rRNA from 1 species